rnacentral:rRNA from 1 species
GAUGAACGCUGGCGGCGUGCCUAAUACAUGCAAGUCGAGCGAACAGACGAGGAGCUUGCUCCUCUGACGUUAGCGGCGGACGUGUGAGUAACACGUGGAUAACCUACCUAUAAGACUGGGAUAACUUCGGGAAACCGGAGCUAAUACCGGAUAAUAUAUUGAACCGCAUGGUUCAAUAGUGAACGACGGCUUUGCUGUCACUUAUAGAUGGAUCCGCGCCGCAUUAGCUAGUUGGUAAGGUAACGGCUUACCAAGGCAACGAUGCGUAGCCGACCUGAGAGGGUGAUCAGCCACACUGGAACUGAGACACGGUCCAGACUCCUACGGGAGGCAGCAGUAGGGAAUCUUCGGCAAUGGGCGAAAGCCUGACGGAGCAACGCCGCGUGAGUGAUGAAGGUCUUCGGAUCGUAAAACUCUGUUAUGAGGGAAGAACAAAUGUGUAAGUAUAUAUGCACGUCUUGACGGUACCUAAUCAGAAAGCCCCGGCUAACUACGUG